UACGGGGGGAGCAAGCGUUGUUCGGAUUUACUGGGCGUAAAGGGCGCGUAGGCGGUCGUGACAAGUCACUUGUGAAAUCUCCGGGCUUAACUCGGAACGGUCAAGUGAUACUGUCGGACUAGAGUACAGAAGGGGCAACUGGAAUUCUCGGUGUAGCGGUGAAAUGCGCAGAUAUCAGGAGGAACACCGGUGGCGAAGGCGGGUCUCUGGGCCGAUACUGACGCUGGAGGAGCGAAAGCGUGGGGAGCGAACGGG
rnacentral:rRNA from 1 species